rnacentral:rRNA from 1 species
GAUGAACGCUGGCGGCGUGCCUAAUACAUGCAAGUCGAGCGAACAGACGAGGAGCUUGCUCCUCUGACGUUAGCGGCGGACGGGUGAGUAACACGUGGAUAACCUACCUAUAAGACUGGGAUAACUUCGGGAAACCGGAGCUAAUACCGGAUAAUAUAUUGAACCGCAUGGUUCAAUAGUGAAAGACGGUUUUGCUGUCACUUAUAGAUGGAUCCGCGCCGCAUUAGCUAGUUGGUAAGGUAACGGCUUACCAAGGCGACGAUGCGUAGCCGACCUGAGAGGGUGAUCGGCCACACUGGAACUGAGACACGGUCCAGACUCCUACGGGAGGCAGCAGUAGGGAAUCUUCGGCAAUGGGCGAAAGCCUGACGGAGCAACGCCGCGUGAGUGAUGAAGGUCUUCGGAUCGUAAAACUCUGUUAUUAGGGAGGAACAAAUGUGUAAGUAACUAUGCACGUCUUGACGGUACCUAAACAGAAAGCCACGGCUAACUACGUG